rnacentral:rRNA from 1 species
UACAGAGGGUGCAAACGUUGCUCGGAAUUAUUGGGCGUAAAGCGCAUGUAGGCGGCACGGUAAGUUCGUUGUGAAAGCCCUUGGCUCAACCAAGGAAGUGCAGCGAAAACUGCCGAGCUCGAGUUCUGAAGAGGGUCGCGGAAUGGCCAGUGUAGAGGUGAAAUUCGUAGAUAUUGGCUAGAACACCAGUGGCGAAGGCGGCGACCUGGGAAGAUACUGACGCUGAGAUGCGAAAGCGUGGGGAGCAAACAGG